rnacentral:rRNA from 1 species
AUGUACAGUCUCCGUUGGUGAACCAGCGGAGGGA